UCGUAUGUUUGUAUGCGGGAUAGUAGCACACAUAACACCAGUAACGGGCAGUAGACAAUAACACACAUGCAGCAGCACAUACACAUACAAGAACAACACACACGCACACGCGCACACACACACACGUAAGAACACACACAUAGACACAGUAAUACACACAUACGCAGCAGCACAUGCAACAGCCAGCAAUACACACACUCACAC
rnacentral:lncRNA from 1 species